rnacentral:rRNA from 1 species
CAGCCGUAAACGAUGUGCGUUAGGUGUAUCGACGACCACGAGUCGUCGAGGUGCCGAAGGGAAACCGUGAAACGUACCGCCUGGGAAGUACGGUCGCAAGGCUGAAACUUAAAGGAAUUGGCGGGGGAGCACCACAACAGGUGGAGCCUGCGGUUUAAUUGGACUCAACGCCGGAAAUCUCACCGGAUAGGACAGCAGAAUGAUUGCCGGGCUGAAGACCCUGCAUGACUAGCUGAGAGGUGGUGCAUGGCGUCAGUGACU